rnacentral:rRNA from 1 species
GGCGCGCCUAAUACAUGCAAGUCGAACGAGAAUGCGUAGCAAUACACAUGUACAGUGGCGAACGGGUGAGGAAUACAUGGGUAACCUACCCUCGAGUGGGGAAUAACUAGCCGAAAGGUUAGCUAAUACCGCGUACGCCUCCUGGACUGCGGUUCGGGAGGGAAAGCGAUACCGUGGGUAUCGCGCUCUUGGAUGGGCUCAUGUCCUAUCAGCUUGUUGGUGAGGUAACGGCUCACCAAGGCUUCGACGGGUAGCUGAUCUGAGAGGAUGAUCAGCCACACUGGCACUGCGACACGGGCCAGACUCCUACGGGAGGCAGCAGUAAGGAAUAUUGCGCAAUGGGCGAAAGCCUGACGCAGCGACGCCGCGUGGGGGAUGAAGGUCUUCGGAUUGUAAACCCCUUUCGGGAGGGAAGAUGGGAUGGGGUAACCCAUUCGGACGGUACCUCCAGAAGCAGCCACGGCUAACUUCGUGCCAGCAGCCGCGGUAAUACGAAGGUGGCAAGCGUUGUUCGGAUUUACUGGGCGUACAGGGAGCGUAGGCGGUUGGGUAAGCCCUCCGUGAAAUCUCCAGGCUUAACCUGGAAAGUGCAGAGGGGACUGCUCAGCUAGAGGAUGGGAGAGGAGCGCGGAAUUCCCGGUGUAGCGGUGAAAUGCGUAGAGAUCGGGAGGAAGGCCGGUGGCGAAGGCGGCGCUCUGGAACAUUUCUGACGCUGAGGCUCGAAAGCGUGGGGAGCAAACAGGAUUAGAUACCCUGGUAGUCCACGCCUUAAACGAUGGAUACUAAGUGUCGGCGGGUUACCGCCGGUGCCGCAGCUAACGCAGUAAGUAUCCCGCCUGGGAAGUACGGCCGCAAGGUUGA